rnacentral:rRNA from 2 species
GUGGCGAACUGGUGAGUAACACGUGGGAAACCUGCCCAGAAGCGGGGGAUAACACCUGGAAACAGAUGCUAAUACCGCAUAACAACUUGGACCGCAUGGUCCGAGUUUGAAAGAUGGCUUCGGCUAUCACUUUUGGAUGGUCCCGCGGCGUAUUAGCUAGAUGGUGGGGUAACGGCUCACCAUGGCAAUGAUACGUAGCCGACCUGAGAGGGUAAUCGGCCACAUUGGGACUGAGACACGGCCCAAACUCCUACGGGAGGCAAGCAGUAGGGAAUCUUCCACAAUGGACGAAAGUCUGAUGGAGCAACGCCGCGUGAGUGAAGAAGGGUUUCGGCUCGUAAAACUCUGUUGUUAAAGAAGAACAUAUCUGAGAGUAACUGUUCAGGGUAUUGACGGUAUUUAACCAGAAAGCGACGGCUAACUACGUGCCAGCAGCCGCGGUAAUACGUAGGUGGCAAGCGUUGUCCGGAUUUAUUGGGCGUAUAGCGAGCGCAGGCGGUUUUUUAAGUCUGAUGUGAAAGGCUUCGGCUCAACCGAAGAAGUGCAUCGGAAACUGGGAAACUUGAGUGCAGAAGAGGACAGUGGAACUCCAUGUGUAGCGGUGAAAUGCGUAGAUAUAUGGAAGAACACCAGUGGCGAAGGCGGCUGUCUGGUCUGUAACUGACGCUGAGGCUCGAAAGUAUGGGUAGCAAACAGGAUUAGAUACCCUGGUAGUCCAUACCGUAAACGAUGAAUGCUAAGUGUUGGAGGGUUUCCGCCCUUCAGUGCUGCAGCUAACGCAUCUAAGCAUUCCGCCUGGGGAGUACGGCCGCAAGGCUGAAACUCAAAGGAAUUGACGGGGGCCCGCACAAGCGGUGGAGCAUGUGGUUUAAUUCGAAGCUACGCGAAGAACCUUACCAGGUCUUGACAUACUAUGCAAAUCUAAGAGAUUAGACGUUCCCUUCGGGGACAUGGAUACAGGUGGUGCAUGGUUGUCGUCAGCUCGUGUCGUGAGAUGUUGGGUUAAGUCCCGCAACGAGCGCAACCCUUAUUAUCAGUUGCCAGCAUUAAGUUGGGCACUCUGGUGAGACUGCCGGUGACAAACCGGAGGAAGGUGGGGAUGACGUCAAAUCAUCAUGCCCCUUAUGACCUGGGCUACACACGUGCUACAAUGGAUGGUACAACGAGUUGCGAACUCGCGAGAGUAAGCUAAUCUCUUAAAGCCAUUCUCAGUUCGGAUUGUAGGCUGCAACUCGCCUACAUGAAGUCGGAAUCGCUAGUAAUCGCGGAUCAGCAUGCCGCGGUGAAUACGUUCCCGGGCCUUGUACACACCGCCCGUCACACCAUGAGAG